rnacentral:rRNA from 1 species
GCAGAAUUGACCGGGGCUGCCUAAUACAUGCAAGUCGAGCGAACUGAUUAGAAGCUUGCUUCUAUGACGAUAGCGGCGGACGGGUGAGUAACACGUGGGCAACCUGCCUGUAAGACUGGGAUAACUCCGGGAAACCGGAGCUAAUACCGGAUAACAUUUUCUCUUGCAUAAGAGAAAAUUGAAAGUUCCGUUUCGGCUAUCACUUACAGAUGGGCCCGCGGUGCAUUAGCUAGUUGGUGAGGUAACGGCUCACCAAGGCAACGAUGCAUAGCCGACCUGAGAGGGUGAUCGGCCACACUGGGACUGAGACACGGCCCAGACUCCUACGGGAGGCAGCAGUAGGGAAUCUUCCGCAAUGGACGAAAGUCUGACGGAGCAACGCCGCGUGAGUGAUGAAGGCUUUCGGGUCGUAAAUCUCUGUUGUUAGGGAAGAACAAGUACAAGAGUAACUGCUUGUACCUUGACGGUACCUAACCAGAAAGCCACGGCUAACUACGUGCCAGCAGCCGCGGUAAUACGUAGGUGGGAAGCGGUAUCCGGAAUUAUUGGGCGUAAAGCGCGCGCA